rnacentral:rRNA from 1 species
AAUAUUGGACAAUGGGGGCAACCCUGAUCCAGCCAUGCCGCGUGUGUUAAGAAGGUCUUCGGAUUGUAAAGCACUUUAAGUUGGGAGGAAGGGCUUUAGGUUAAUACCCUGAAGUUUUGACGUUACCAACAGAAUAAGUACCGGAUAACUCGGUGCCAGCAGCCGCGGUAAUACAGAGGGUGCAAGCGUUAAUCGGAAUUACUGGGCGUAAAGCGCGCGUAGGUAGUUCAGUAAGAUGGGUGUGAACUCCCCGGGCUUAACCUGGGAACUGCUUUCAUAACUUCUGAGCUAGAGUACGGUAGAGGGUAGUGGAAUUUCCUGUGUAGCGGUGAAAUGCGUAGAUAUAGGAAGGACCACCAGUGGCGAAGGCGACUACCUGGACUGAUACUGACACUGAGGUGCGAAAGCGUGUGGAGCAAAC